rnacentral:tRNA from 1 species
GGAAGCGCGUCGGUCCUGGUGGGUCGCGCGGUCUUCAAAACCGUCGUGGGGCGCCGAGAGGCGUCCUGGGGGAGUUCGAUUCUCCUGCGCUUCCGCCA